UUGUUUACAUAUAUGAUGUGAUG
rnacentral:snRNA from 1 species